GGGAGGAAAGGCACUGCUGUGCGCUGCCUGCCUGUCAUCCAGGCAGGCUACCCAGGUUCAAUUUGUUCCUUGCCCUUUGGGUUCUGAUAAGCCAGUGAGUGAAAAAAAAAACUUACAAGAAAAGAUUAUUUAAAAAUAGAUUUGCUAUAUAUCAGAAACAGCUGUUAAUUAGGCAUGUUGAACUUCUUCCUCAUGCCAGACUUUAUAAUGUUUAUGAAAGUUGUAAACUGAUUCAAGUUAACAAGCGUUUGCCUGGCACUUGCCAUGUGCCUUCUUGAACGAUGCCAGGCUGGUACCUUCCAAGAUUCAGAGAUCCUCGAUCAACAACAACAGAAAAUGUCCUCACCAUGUUCUGAAAGCCUUCCAAAGCAUGGCAGAAUGAAGAACGAGGAGAUGGCAAACUCUACCACCAGCCUGAGGUCCCAGCUGCCCUUCUAUCCAGAAAUGUUUUCAUCUCACCACACAGAGCUUCACAUGCACCCUUUUCAAAACCCACACUAGCUUCUCGAUUUCUUGCACAACAGAAACUAAUAUGUUAGACCUUCGUAAUAAACGUUAACCCUUUAAAGAGUAUCUAAUGUUUGCCCCACAAGAACCUGUAAAAAUAUGUCCAUUUCGCACACACAGAACAAGGCUGCCUACAGAAAGAGCGAGGUGUGUGUUUUUCAGAUGAAAGAUGUCUUUCUAAAGUGCAGCAUUGUUACUACAGGCGCAUUAUAUCUGAAAUGGAUGCACUCUUGAAAGAUAAUGAAUGAUAGCACUUCCUUAUUGUUGGUACCCACCCAUCACUCUUCUUAAAAGCACGUGCUGUAUAGCAUUUGCAGUGUUCCUACAAAAGAAAAAUUUUAGAUGAUUUAAAUAGCUAACUGCUCCUAAUUGUUAUUCAGAAUAAAAGGUUGCACUUCUUAAGUGUUCCCCGCUUUUAACACUGUUUUUAGUACCUCCAUUUAAAGCCUGAAAAUAAAAUGCUUUUGCAUGUGAAAG
rnacentral:lncRNA from 1 species